GGCUGGUCCAAGUGGCGUUUACAACUGAUAGACCACAACCAGUUAUAAAGUUCUCUGUUCCAUCUCCACUCCCACUGCUCCACUUGACUAGCCCAAA
rnacentral:Y_RNA from 1 species